rnacentral:lncRNA from 1 species
GAAGUUUUAUUUGAAAAUCAAAAUUACAGAAAGUCUUUUCUUUCAGAUUUUCAUAUAAAAUUUGCAGAAAAUUCAUAAAUAAUAAGGAUUGUAAUAACAUGUAUUAUAGGAAAUAAACAAAAUUAAUAUUAUCACAUACAUAUGUGUGUGUCUUUCUCUUACAUUUAUAUGAAAUAUUAAUCUCACAUGUGAUAUAUAUAUAUAUAUCACAGCUGAAGAAGAGGCCAGAUUUGAAUGCAUCGUUGUCUGAUAUAUGCAUUUCAACUUCGGCAGCUCCAACAUAUCUUCCAGCUCAUUCCUUUGAAACCAAAACCCACCACGGUGUCAGCAAAUUCGACCUUAUAGACGGUGGCGUUGCUGCAAAUAACCCGGUACACAAUCUUAUAAUUCAAAUGAAAGGAGUAAAUUUUAACGAUAUAAUUCAAAUAUGAAUAACUAAUGGUUAAAACUAAUUAAAACAAUCUUAAGCAUGCAUAAACGAUCCUAACUCCGUUCUUUAUUAUAAGAAACAAGUUAUAUAGUAUAGUGACGAAUAGAGGUAGUAUUAUAUGAUGAGUAAGAUAUAUAUAAAUCAUCAAUUUAAUUGACAAAUAAGGAUGUGGUAUAUAUGUUAAUUUGGUAUUCCAGGCACUGGUGGCCAUGGCAGAAGUUACGAACCAAAUAUGUCAUGAAGGGCCAUGUGAUAGCUUAAAUGUGGAACCGAUGCAAUACGACAAGUUUUUGGUGAUAUCAUUGGGAACAGGUUCUCAGAAACAAGAAAUGAAAUACAGUGCUCUUGAAGCAGCUCAAUGGGGUAUCUUGAGUUGG